rnacentral:rRNA from 1 species
UACAGAGGUCCCAAGCGUUGUUCGGAUUCACUGGGCGUAAAGGGUGCGUAGGUGGUGGGGUAAGUCCGAUGUGAAAGCUCCGAGCUCAACUCGGAAAUUGCAUUAGAAACUACCCUGCUCGAGGGUUGGAGGGGGGACUGGAAUUCCUGGUGUAGCGGUGAAAUGCGCAGAUAUCAGGAGGAACAGCCGGUGGCGAAGGCGGGUCUCUGGGCCGAGUACUGACGCUGAGGAGCGAAAGCGUGGGGAGCAAACGGG